GCACACACACACACACACACACACACACACACACACACACACACAUACACACAUUUUGACUUUGAAUUAGAGUGAUCCUCCCACAAUAAUUUAAUCCUGUAACAGAUGUUAUUUCUAAAGAAAUCCAAGACGGAACAACACCUAAUUCAACUCUGCCAGUUGGAGUAUAUUUUACUGU